rnacentral:lncRNA from 1 species
UGCAGUAUAGGCGGUGAACAAUCGUGAUGCAUAUAAGCCAAACCAUUAGCAACGCCCUUUACAAUAUUGACCCUUGUUAACCAAUCCAAUUCUUUUGCUAAUACAUCGCUUUUUAAAAUAGAUCCAAGGCUGCCAUUUUCAUGGUAUUCAUAAAUCAAAAUUGAGUUGCGGGCAUGGGAGCAAUACCCAUAGAGUUUCACUAUGUUUCGGUGCCUUAUGUUCGUUAGUGCCCGUACCUCAUUAAGGAAACCACUAUGAUCAACAUUCUCGGAUGAUGAAUGAAGUUUCUUGACAGCAACCACAUUGUCAGGUUGUAGCUUAGCCAUACCAUAAAUGCCGCUAUCCCGUAAGAUGUGGUCUUGCAAUACCCAAGAUUGGGUCCUUGAGGAAACAAAAGCAUAUGAGGUAGCCUCUACUGCCGUGUAUAAACCCAAACCACCAAACCGAAUGGGUAGGGAAGCAAGUCGCCGCUGUAAGUCGCCAAAGAAGGGGCCACCACAAAACACAAUGUCCUCAAUCGCCUAGCGUAAUUAGUUGUCGAAGAACAACGCUGCCUCCUCCAUGUGAACGGGUUGGCACGUCCUCAGCCCAAAGAAAAGUUUAGCAAUACCCAUACAAGACCAAAGUAGAAGGAGCUCACUCUGCGGGUGUAACGACCCAAUUUUCACAUCCAAAAAUUUCGUUUUUAAAACAUUAGUUUAGAAAAUGUUAAUAGAUAAAGACAUUGUUUGACCAAAAUACAUCACAACAUAAACCAUGUUCAAAAGUCAUGUCAUACAACCAAUCGAAACAUCAGAGUAUAAAUCCCAAGGAAAUCUAGUAAAUGCGGAAACCGAUGUGCGUGCAUGAUGUACCGCUACCGAGCCAGCUCCUUCCCCUUCGAUGAAGAGGUACCUGAAACCAAAACUGUAAACUGUAAGCACAAAGCUUAGUGAGUUCCCCUAUCGUACCACAUACCAUACAAUAUAUAUAUAUAUAUAUAUAUAUAUAUAUAUAUAUAUAUAUAUAUAUAUAGAGAGAGAGAGAGCGAGAGAGNAUUCUGGGGUGCUGACCUACCCAUGUCAAGCUAUUCUGCGGUGCUGACUACCCUUCGGUCAUAACAACCGAACCUCGGGGACUAUUUCACCCCCUACUACUACCAUCACAUAUAUCCUAACACAAACGUAUUAUCAGACAUAUCUGGGGUGUCUGACUACCCUUCGGUCCUAACAACCGAACUCUACUACUAACACAUACCACAUAACAUAUCAGGUAGUAACAAACCUAGAUGAUAUCACAAAGACAAUCAUCUAACAUACAACUCCUACUGGUGGGUCGGCAUUGUGGCCUUAGACCCACCGCUACUGGAAGGUAACUCACCUCGGAGUAGCUGCUGAUCUUUGUGGGAAUAGUCUGACUGCUGCUGCUGCUGUUCCGGAAAUCCUCCGGCUGUAUUCCCACCAAACACUUAGUCAAAAACUGCUAACUGACCUUUGGGUAAUAUGACCAUUUUACCCCUGAUCAUGCCCUAAGUCAAAGUCAGAGUUAACUUCCAGUUGACCCGACUUGCCGAGUUGGCUCGCCAACUCGCCGAGUCCAUGUCCAACGACUGUCCUGAAUUCUGCCUUUACUCGUCAAGUUAGGCGUCGACUCGACGAGUUCUCCUUCCAAACUGAUGUUCAAGUCCUUCAUCCUACUCGCCGAGUUGUAUGNUAUGUGACUUCACGAGUUCAUCUUCAUCCGAUGAACAAGUUAUACUGUGACUCGCAGAGUUGUAUGAACAACUCGCCGAGUCUGAUCUUGAUCUAAGGAGAUUGCCUUGAACUCGCUGAGUCUAGGCAUCGACUCGCCGAGUUCCACUAUGGGUGAGUUUUGGCUUCCAACUCACCGAGUCCCUCCUGGACUCACUACACAACUCGACAUAACAAAAAGGGGACAAACUCGGGGACUCGCGACUGGACUCGCCGAGUCCGCUCCAUGCAAGACCUAAAAAUGCGAUUUUGCUCGAAUCCAAUCCAUGUCAUUCGUAGAUCUGGGCUCCUAGAGCAUGAAUAACGCGUAAAGUUUCCAACUUUACGUGUAAAUAUCCGUCUAUGGGGUUUUUAGGGUUCAAAAUGCACCAAAAGAGUAGAUCUAAGGUUUAUAUGCAAUAUGGGCUCAUAAAGGUAGUGGAUCUGAGCUCCUGGAGCUCAACUAUGCUUGGAUCUAGAGACCAAUCAACUUAUUUCGAAAUAUUAUGCACAUACAAGCUUGGAAAUGAGCCAUGAUGGACUUUAAUGGGGCCANAGGGAGAGAGGGGGAAAGGGGAGCCAUACCUUAGAUAUCACUCUGAAAUUGCUCACAAAUGCUUGACCUCCUCUUCUUCUUCUUGAUCUCCUUCCCUACACACUCCAAUCUCCAAGAGGACACACUAAAUGGCUUCAAAUCCACAAAACAAGGCUUAGAACGAGGUAUAUGGCUCUUAGGGUGAAUAGGGGCUGGCUUGGGGGCGGAAAGGGGGAUUAAAUAGGGUGCAAACCCCUGAAACUUAGGGUUUCAUCCAACAGUGGUGACUCUCCGAGUCCAGGAUAUGGACUCUCCGAGUCGCCAACUUAAACGUGUCCCGGGUCCCGUCCCUACUCGGCGAGUCGGACCUAUGACUCGCCGAGUCCAAGGCUUAAAAAGGAAAAAUACUCAAUUAAUAUUUACAUACCAGCAACCAGGUGCUACAAAUCUCCCCCACUUAUUUUAGACUUCGUCCUCGAAGUCUGCUGCUCAAUCCUAGAACAACUCGGGGUAAUGCUCCAUCAUUUCAUCCACCGGCUCCCAAGUCCACUCUGAACCCUUGCGGUGCUGCCAUUGCACCUUCACUAACUCCACCCUUUUGUUUCUCAAAUCCUUCGACUUCCUGUCGAGGAUUGCGACUGGGUGCUCAAUGUAAUUCAGGCUGUCGUCAACCUGAAUAUCCUCCAACGGCACUACUGCUGAAUCAUCCACUAAGCACUUCCGCAGCUGAGAGACAUGGAAAGUGCUGUGGAUCUGGCUGAGCUCGACCGACAGAUCCAAUCUAUACGCCACCUUGCCCACCCGGGCUACAACCCUGAACGGUCCGAUAAAUCUCGGACCCAAUUUUCCCCACUUCCUGAAUCGAAUGACGCCUUUCCAAGGCGACACCUUCAGGAGAACCAUAUCCCCGACUUGGAACUCCAAGUCGGAUCGACGCUUGUCGGCAUAACUUUUCUGCCGACUCUGAGCAGUCUGAAGCCUGCUCCGAACUUGCUGGAUCCUCUCGGUCGUCUCGAGCACCACCUCGGUGCUCCCCAUGACCCUCUGGCCAACCUCACCCCAGCAUAUCGGGGUUCUGCACCUCCGCCCGUACAACAUCUCGAAUGGGGGACGGUCAAUACUCGCGUGGUAGGUGUUGUUGUAUGAGAACUCAGCCAAGGGAAGAUAGGUAUCCCAGCUACCACCAAAAUCUAACACACAUGCCCGCAUCAUAUCCUCCAAUGUCUGGAUGGUCCGCUCGCUCUGACCAUCCGUUUGCGGGUGAAAGGCGGUGCUAAAAUGCAAACGAGUGACCAAACCGUCAUGAAACUUCUUCCAAAAUCUGGAAGUGAAUCGCACAUCUCGGUCUGAUAUCACUGACACUGGCACCCCGUGUCGCGCUACGAUCUCCCUGAUGUAGAUAUCGGCCAACUUCUCGGCCGAGAUGCUCUCUUGGAUCGGAAUAAAAUGGGCGCUCUUGGUCAAUCGAUCCACGAUGACCCAAAUCGAAUCCACUCCACGCGCGGUCCUGGGAAGCUUCGUGAUAAAAUCCAUCGUGAUAUCUUCCCAUUUCCACAGUGGAAUGUCCAACGGCUGCAUCUUGCCAUGCGGUCUCUGAUGUUCGGCCUUGACCUUCCUGCAGGUCAAGCACCGCUCGACGUACCAUGCCACAUCCCGCUUCAUGCAGGGCCACCAAUAAUCUAGACGAAGAUCCCUAUACAUCUUCGUCGCCCCGGGAUGAAUAGAGAAUCGGGACUUGUGCGCCUCCUCCAUCAAGAUCUGGCGCACGCCUCCGUGAUACGGCACCCACACCCUGCGGUGUAGUGUCAAUAGUCCUCGACUAUCAUAAUCGAAGGAGGAAACCUGAACCACCACACGUUCGCUCUUCUGAUGUUCCUCCUUGAUAGCCUCCUGUUGAGCCUCCCGAAUCUGCUCCAACAGGGGAGUCACCACAGUCAUCCUCAUGCAAAUAUCCCUGAUCGGCGCCGCCUUCCGGUUAAGCGCAUCGGCCACCACAUUGGCCUUUCUCGGGUGGUAAAGGAUCUCACAAUCAUAAUCCUUCACCACGUCCAACCACCGACGCUGCCUCAUGUUCAGAUUCGGCUGAUCCAUGAGGUACCUCAAACUCUUGUGGUCCGUGUAGAUGGUACAUCGAACCCCGUAGAGGUAAUGCCGCCAAAUCUUGAGGGCAAAAACCACCGCCCCCAACUCCAAAUCAUGCGUCGGGUAGUUCGCCUCGUGAGGCUUGAGCUGCCUCGAAGCGUAGGCAAUGACAUGCCCCCUCUGCAUCAGUACCGCGCCCAACCCUGAAAUGGACGCGUCACAAUAAACCACAAAAUCCUCUACGCCGUCUGGCAGGGCUAAGAUCGGCGCCUCACACAAUCUCUGUCUCAGUGCCUCAAAUGUUGCCUGCUGCUCGGGUCCCCACCGAAAGGCCACGACUUUCUUCGUCAACCGUGUCAGGGGUACAACUAUCUUGGAGAAAUCCUGAACGAACCUCCGAUAAUAGGCUGCCAAUCCUAGGAAACUCCGAAUCUCAGAUGGAGACUUCGGAACCUCCUAUCUCAUCACGGCCUCGACCUUGGCCGGAUCGACCAGAAUCCUGUUCUGGUUGACAAGGUGUCCGAGAAAUUGCACCCCGCGCAACCAAAACUCACACUUGGAGAACUUGGCAUACAUGCUCUCCCUCCUCAGGGUCUCCAAAACCUCUCUCAGAUGCUCCUCAUGCUCCUCCUGCGUCUUGGAAUAAACCAAGAUGUCAUCGAUAAAUACUAUCACAGACCGAUCCAACAUCGGUCUGCAUACGCGGUUCAUGAGGUCCAUGAACGCGGCAGGAGCAUUGGUGAGCCCAAAUGGCAUCACCACGAACUCAUAGUGGCCAUAGCGCGUCCGAAACGCGGUCUUCUGCGUAUCCUCCUUCCUGACCCUCAUCUGAUGAUAACCCGAAUGCAAAUCAAUCUUGGAGAACCAAGAUGCUCCCUGAAGCUGAUCAAAGAGAUCAUCAAUCCUCGGGAGUGGGUAACGGUUCUUCACCGUUACCUUAUUCAACUCCCGAUAAUCUAUACACAUCUGGUGUGACCCAUCCUUCUUCUUCACAAACAGAAUCGGGGCUCCCCAGGGUGAAAAACUCGGUCUAAUGAAUCCCUUGUCUAGUAGCUCCUGCAGCUGCGUAGACAACUCCUGCAUCUCGGGAGGAGCCAACCGAUAUGGUGCCUUGGCUAUCGGGGCCGCACCAGGAACGAGGUCAAUCCUGAACUCCACAUGUCGCUCCGGAGGUAUCCCAGGAAGCUCCUCUGGGAAAACAUCUGCGAAAUCUCGCACCACUGGAACCUCGCUCACGGUCACAUUACCCGCCUCCCGGGUAUCCAUCACGUACGCAACAUAUCCUGCGCAUCCCUGCUGAAGGUAACAUGUAGCCCUCGCUGCUGAACAUACAGCGGGUCCACGUUGUGGCCUCUCACCAUGGAUCACUAAAUCUCCCCCACCUGGGGUCCUGACUCGCACUAGUUGCUGCGCGCAAUCUAUCACCGCCCCAUUAGGGCUCAACCAGUCCAUGCCUAUAAUCACCUUGUUCCCACGCAACGGAAUGGAAACCAAAUCCACCAGGUAGCGCUCCUCGAACAAACACAACACGCAGUCCCGAAAUACCAUCGAUGCUCGCACCGAUCGAUCAUCAGCAAUCUCUACUUCCAAAGGGUAAUCCAGCAUGCCCGAAGACUCGAGAAACUUCUUGCUAAGCGCAAGGGACACAAACGAUCGGGAUGCACCCGAGUCGAACAACACCUGAACUGGGAUACCGUUCACAUGGAACGAUCCUAACACAUAUACAUAUACCGGGAACAUAUCAAUAUCAUAACAUCAUAUAAAUAAACGAGAGGGAAAAGAAUCAUACCUGUCACCACAUCGGGUGCUGCGCGUGCCUCCUUGGUGGUCAGCUGGAAUGCUCGGCUCCUCACCACUAGAGCCUCUGCCUUGCCCUGCCGGCCAUCUGUGAUCCGCAGGGUCGCGGGGGCUGGCGCCUUCACCGGCGCUGAAACUGUCAACUGGGGACAAUUGGCCUUCUUGUGGCCCCUCUGGUUACAAUGAAAACACAGCAACUCCGAUGUCUGAAUAACUGCUGCCGGAGCAGUGCAAUCCCUGCUAUGGUGCCCAGUCUUGCCGCACUUGUAGCAGCCUGAUGAUCCCAUCCUGCACGCCUUCUCGUGCGGCCUGUUGCAUUUCCUGCAGCGGCUCGGUCCUGACUAGCCUUUCGGCCUACCAUCUGAUCCCUUGGGCUUCUUCCUUGAAGCCCCUCCUGCCUGACCCUCUUCUGACUUCCGUUUCCGGAUAUGCUCCAAAUCUAUCUCCCUUUCGCUCACCCUGGCAAUCAUGGAGUCCAGGGUGGGGCAAGCCGAAAAACUAACGUGCUCCCGGAUAUCGGCCCGGAGCAUGUCAUGAUAGCGGGUCCUCCUCAUGUCCUCAUCACCCGCAUAUUGGGGCACCAACAGUGCCCUCUCCCAAAACUUGGCGGUGAUCUCCGCCACAGUCUCAAUCGUCUGCCUCAUAUCCAAAAACUCCCUCGCCAGCUGCUGAAGCUCGAUAGCCGGCGCAAACUCUGCCUUGAACCUGGUCAUAAAGUCCGACCAGGUCAUAGCCUCAAUAGCUGAGGCUCCCAAAGAAUCACCCACUGACUCCCACCAAUCUCGAGCUCGGUCUCGUAAACACCCUGCUGCAUACCUCACCUUCGACCCCUCAGGGCAGAAGCUAGUCAACUGCGCAGACUCAAUGUCUGCAAUCCACCGCCUGGCAACAAUGGGGUCCUUCACCCCAUGGAAAUCCAGCGCACCGCUGCCCCUGAAGUCCUUAAAGGACAGCGUGCGAGAUCCCGACUGGCUAAAUGCCAUGUCUCUCCUGAACGCCCUGAGGCGAUCCUCCAUCAACUCGAUGAUCCCUUCCUUGAUCGGCCUGAAGAUGAUGGGGGUCGAAUCAAGGAUACCUCUGGUGAUCUCUGACGCGAUGAACUCGCGUAGCCUCUUAUCUACUGGCUCGGAACCUGAUCCCGAACCCGAUCCCUCUCCUGAACUGCCAAGUGCUGGUCUCGGGCGUAGUACCACCAUUCGGAAAUACAAAGAAAUAACAACUGUUAGCGAUACUGAUACCCCUGGAGGGAUCCCACCCACUACUAGUUCCCUAGUCUUAUCUUAGCCUUCCUCGGUUCGGGUAUGGAUCCUCUGCUUUCAGUAGUACGGGCCCAUACUACCUUCCACAUCUAUCCGUACCUUCCCCAAAGACCGCCUCAACUCGACCAGGUCCCUUCCCCUACUACUGAUCACCACUACUCAUUAUCCUAGGCUUACCCUAGGAAACCUCUAACUCCAACCAUCCCAGAUCUCAGCUGCUGAAGGCCUCUUGGUGAUGCCAAUUAACUAUUACCUGAACACAAUCACAUGCGCUGAGGCUCGGAUAAUCCUUCGAGUAAGGGACUCAUCUCUAUAACGAUUAAGACUCAAACAAGAGCUACGCAAUAGAGUCAAAUCCAACACUCUGAGAUUAUUCAACCCUGAUCAUAGGUGACUUAGACGUAUUCACCUAACAGUUAACUCCCAUCACUUCAAGGCCCACAUAGCACAAAGCAAACAACAUUUNAACAGACUCAAGCCAAAACUGUUCUUAGAACAAGAAACGACACUUAACAUAGGAUGCUAAGCUCAUACUAUCAGGCAUAACCUAAACAGGCUACCCUACUGCUGUCUACUCAGCUCUAGCAUGCAACUCUUUCAUAUACUGAAGCACAUAAAGCAGGCACAUAAGGCAUCACUCCUAGAUCCUUAGUCCUAUUCUAGCAUGCUGUUCUACAGAAACUGAUAAACAUAAAUAAACUUGUAUGGGUACAUUGAGGAAUACUUACUUGAGCUUGGCCAGUUGCGCACAUCACACACAUUAUUCUUUCUUAAAACCCUUUUCUUAACCCUUUUAGAAAACAUUUUCUCUUUCCAAAAUCAUUUAAUCCCUCGAUUUGAGUUCGAACACCGCCAAAGGUGUGUCCGAAUCCCUCAAACCAGGGCUCUGAUACCAACUUGUAACGACCCAAAUUAUUUUUUUUUUUUUUUGAUAUUACUUUAGAAAACAUUAAUAAAUAAAAACAUUGUCUAAAUAAAAAGAAACAUUGUUUGUUCACACCAUAACACAUUGCAACCAUGUUCUCAAAAGCCAAACCGUACAUCCCAUCAAAUAUCAGAGUACAAUCCCAGUAAAUCUCAUAAAUGCGGAAACCGAAGAGUGUGUGUAUGACGUGCCGCUACCGCGCCGGCUCCUUCCCCUUCGAUGCAGAGGUACCUGAAAACAAAACUGUAAACGUAAGCACAAAGCUUAGUGAGUUCCCCCAACGUACCGCAUACCAUACAAACACAUAACAUAUAUACUGCCAGGCUAUUCUGGGGUGCCUGACUACCCGGUACGGCCAUUCUGGGGUGCCGACCUACCCGUGUCAAGCCAUUCUGGGGUGCUGACAUACCCGUGUCAAGCCAUUCUGGGGUGCUGACCUACCCAUGUCAAGCUAUUCUGCGGUGCUGACUACCCUUCGGUCCUAACAACCGAACCUCGGGGACUAUUUCACCCCUACUACUACCAUCACAUAUAUCCUAACACAAACGUAUUAUCAGACAUAUCUGGGGUGUCUGACUACCCUUCGGUCCUAACAACCGAACUCUACUACUAACACAUACCACAUAACAUAUCAGGUAGUAGCAAACCUAGAUGAUAUCACAAAGACAAUCAUCUAACAUACAACCCCUACUGGUGGGACGGCAUUGUGGCCUUAGACCCACCGCUACUGGAAGGUAACUCACCUCGGAGUAGCUGCUGAUCUUUGUGGGAAUAGUCUGACUGCUGCUGCUGCUGCUGUUCCGGAAAUCCUCCGGUUGUAUUCCCACCAAACACUUAGUCAAAAACUGCUAACUGACCUUUGGGUAAUAUAACCAUUUUACCCCUGAUCAUGCCCUAUGUCAAAGUCAGAGUCAACUUCCAGUUGACCCGACUCGCCGAGNGCUAACUCGCCGAGUCCAUGUCCAACGACUGUCCUAAAUUCUGCCUCUACUCGUCGAGUUAGGCGUCGACUCGACGAGUUCUCCUUCCAAACUGAUGUUCAAGUCCUUCAUCCUACUCGUCGAGUUGUAUGAACAACUCGCCAAGUUCAUCUUCAUCCGAUGAACAAGUUACACUGUGACUCGCCGAGUUGUAUGAACAACUCGCCGAGUCUGAUCUUGAUCUAAGGAGAUUGCCUUGAACUUGCCGAGUCUGGGCAUCGACUCGCCGAGUUCCACUAUGGGUGAGUUUUGGCUUCCAACUCACCGAGUCCCUCCUGGACUCACUACACGACUCGACAUAACAAAAAGGGGACAAACCCGGGGACUCGCGACUGGACUCGCCGAGUCAGAUGAGCGACUCGACGAGUCCGCUCCAUGCAAGAGCUAAAAAUGCGAUUUUGCUCGAAUCCAAUCCAUGUCAUUCAUAGAUUUGGGCUCCUAGAGCAUGAAUAACACGUAAAGUUUCCAACUUUACGUGUAAAUAUCCAUCUAUGGGGUUUUUAGGGUUCAAAAUGCACCAAAAGAGUAGAUCUAAGGUUUAUAUGCAAUAUGGGCUCAUAAAGGUAGUGGAUCUGAGCUCCUGGAGCUCAACUAUGCUUGGAUCUAGAGACCAAUCAACUUAUUUCGAAAUAUUAUGCACAUACAAGCUUGGAAAUGAACCAUGAUGGACUUUAAUGGGGCCAUAAGCAUGGAGACAAGGGGGAAAACAAGCCAUACCUUAGAUAUCACUCUGAAAUUGCUCACAAAUGCUUGACCUCCUCAUCUUCUUCUUGAUCUCCUUCCCUACACACUCCAAUCUCCAAGAGGACACACUAAAUGGCUUCAAAUCCACAAAAUAGGGCUUAGAACAAGGUAUAUGGCUCUUAGGGUGAAUGGGGGCUGGCUUGGGGGCGGAAAAAGGGAUUAAAUAGGGUGCAAACCCCUGAAACUUAGGGUUUCAUCCAACAGCGGUGACUCGCCGAGUCCAGGAUAUGGACUCGCCGAGUCGCCAACAUAAACGUGUCCCGGGUCCCGUCCCUACUCGGCGAGUCGGACCUAUGACUCGCCGAGUCCAAGGCUUAAAAAGGAAAAAUAGUCAAUUAAUAUUUACGUACCAGCAACCAGGUGCUACAGCAGGUCAGACAAUUGUGGAAGAAGGCGCAUCAAAUUCACAGCGCCUUCGGCUCUCUUUAUGGCUAACUUGCUAAUUAAACUAGCAUCUCUGCUAAUAGCUCCCCCGAGAAGUUUCACCCCCAAUGGCGGCCUCCCGAUGCCAACCGGGAAUAGCCCCUCAUGCAGCUUCCUUCCAUCACACGAGGGAAAAAAGAGCUCGGUUUUCUUGAUAUUCAACUGAAGGCCCAAUUGUGGGCCAAUAGCCUUAAUGGUGUCUAUGGCUUUGGCCACCUCCUCAGAAUCUCCAAUAAGUGUGCCAUCAUCUAGGUACCAUGCAUGGAGAAGAAGCUUGCAAUUGUCUCUAAUAUUAUGCAGGAGCGGGUGCAACACAAGUGCAAAGAGAAGUGGUCCCAAGGGGUCUCUUUGUUGAACUCCAGUAGAAGACCAAAUAUGUGCAUCCCCUAGAUAUAACCUUGCUGCUUGACCAUAUAGGAAUUCUACCCACAAGGAUAUAGAAGGGCACCUCAAUCUGACCUCAUGAAGUAAUGUGGAUCUGUCAACAAGGUUAAAUGCAUUAGAGAAGUCCACAGUAAGCAUGGAAAGAGACCCGUCAUUGUGGCGUUCACUCAACACCCUAUUGGCACUAUGUAAUACGGCUUCAGCGCCACUCGACACCCCGACCCCAAACUGAAAAUCAUUGAGACACUUGGCCAUUUCUUUACCAACACCUUUCAUAGCCAGCUUGGAAACCAAACAUCUCCAUAUAGUUCCUACUACAAUAGGUCGUAUUCCCUUAUAAGGUUUUAGAAGCGGGUUGAGAGGAGCAGAGGCAACAAAUUCCGCCAAACUUGAAGGCCAUCUCCCCCUAGCCAUAAAUUAAUUACACAUGUGAUAGCACAUAGGAGGUCUUUGGCAAUUGUUGAACCUUCUCCACAAAGAGUAUCUAAGAUGUGUUGAGAUCUCUACCCAUCUCUUCCACACGAGGUUCCUUUAGGGAAUGAUUUAAUUGCCCCAAGGACAUUAUCCAUAUCAACCACAAGGGGAGGUACUGAACAUAUGGUACUCAGCAUGGAUGGUGCUGGCUUGUGUGGAUGCUUAUCCUCCAAUGCCUUCGUGGUAGCAUCCCCAUAUGGAGCAACCCCUAAGGAACAUAAUACUUUCACUGCUGUUGUGAAAUGCCCAUCAGCAACCUUACAGAGACAUUGUCUGACGUUGGUAUAUGACCCCGUUUUCUAUCCUCCUGAAUGUACUCUUCUUUUUUGCCUUGUUGCUCCAUCCUUGCAUUGUCAACAAAGUUUUUAACAAGCUUGGCUAUAUGAUCUUCUAUACCCCAAGUAGCUAAUGCGCUUAAGAUGUUACGAUGUUACAAGGACUUCCUGUUCCUAGACCUACUUUCGUGUCUAUUCUUGGGCCUAAACACCUGAAAAGUACACCUAGGAAGAAUUAACAAUGUAACCCAUGCUUCAAUGGACUCGGGAUAAGCAACAACCUUGGAAAAUGCUGAUUUCAAAGCCUAAGAGAAAGCCAUACAACAAUUAUGAGUGAUGCUUUUGACAGUGGUGAUAGCUAGCUUAAACAUAAGAUCAAGGAGCUGAGUAUCCAACACCAACCCCUCAUUGAGGUUGGCAUCCGGUUCAUUGGGUGGUGGCUUUUGAAUAUCAACAAUAUGUUCUCGCAUGUCAUCAACAUGACCAUUAAAUUUAACAAGACCACCUGAGUACCGAUACGAGCGGCUUAGGUCAUGGAGACUCAUACAAUCCCCACAUAUCCAUUGACCAAACUCCUUCAAUGUUGUUGUCACUGACAUAAACAAUCCAAGGUCUAAAGAAAUAGCAUCUCGCAACACAGCUCUACGCUCAUCCAUAGAAAGGUGCAAACUCUUGAUAUGAGAAAUCAUACAUGAUAUCCCCUUACCACCCACUUCACCGUUCGGGCAACAAUGAAACCCCCUGAAAAGGACACAGCCAAGUUCCGCUCGUAUAUGAAUGACAAGACGCAAUAAACAUAUAAACAAAUCUUACUAAAGCCUCAAGGGGAGGCUUGGAAAGAGAAGCAAAAAUCCAAAGAAAAGAGUGAUACUCCAACAAAAGGUUGGAGUGCACAAUGAAAAACCACCCCAGAAGAGUCUCUACAUCUUUUUGGGUCUUAAUAUGGCUGCAACACUUGUAAAAAGACCUUCAGACAUUUUAUCGAACACCUGGUGAGCAGAAAAAGAAAUGUAGGAUUUGAUCCAAUGAGGCUUGAGAAUUUAACCCAUAUAUAAUCCCCCUUUAGUGAGUAAAAGUUAGUUUUUUUUUUUCAUCUUAAAAAAAUAAAACACCUAAAACCAUAGGUUUUUAGAUGAAACAGUAGAUCAAUUUUAAUCUACUCUUUGGGAAACAGUAGACUUCUCAGAGGAAACAAUAGACUAUUUUUUCCUCUACGGUUUCAUCGUGAAAAUGAAAUAAAAAUCCUUAUAUACUAACCGUAGGUAAAUUGGCGAAACAUUAGACCAUUUUAACCACCUACAGUUUCGAUGGCUAUUUUGAAAUAAGUCCUAAAUUUUGACUAGAAAGUGAGAAGUCAUUAAUUGGUUAGAUUAGUAAUUUUCACUUUAUUUUAAGAUAUUAGUCUUAAAAACUGAGGGCCCAGAAACAUAUAUGUAUUAUAAGGUAUAUAGAUAUACGUAUUUAUUUUACUUGUAUGUAUGUAUGUAUUUUUAAGUAUUUUUGUAUUUUUUAUUUAUUUAUGUAUUUUUAUUCAAACUUUCAUUGUAAGAUAACUACUAGACCGUGUAAACGAAGGAAAAAAAUAUUAGAUUACUCCAAAAAAAAAUUCAAAGACAAUACUUACAAACAACGUAAUUUUUAUAUGUAAAUUCUUCAUUUUUUCUUGAAUUCAGUUUUAGAUGAACAAAAUUUACAAAUAUUUUUGUCAUUAAAAAUAUAUUCGUACACUUUGUUUAUCUAAGAACUGAAUACAAGAAAAAAAAAUAGAAGAAUUUACCUACAAAAAUGACUUUUAUUGCUAAUGAUUGUUUUCAAGUAGCCUUUAUUUUCUUUAUUUACAGGGUCUAUUAGUUAGCUUAUAAUGAAACAAGAAGUAAAAAAAAAAAAUUAUACAUACGUAAAAAAAAAUGUAAUAAAAUCCUUAAAAGUACUUACAAAAAGUUAAAAGAUACAUAUAAAUACGUAAAAAAAAUACAUAAAAGUAUGUAAAACAAACUAUAUAAUUAUUUUAAAAGUACAUAAUUACAUGAAAAAUAUAUCAAAAUACAUAAAAGUACGUAAAAAUACUUAAAAAUUCAUAUAAUUAUGUAAAAGAAAUAUGUUUAUACCGUUAAAAUAUAUAUAAAAAAAAAAAAAAAAAAAAAAAAAAAAAAAAAAAAAAAAAAAAACUUAAAAAUAUAUAUGUAAAAAAUGAAAAAAAAUAAAUUUUCAGAAAUACGUAAAAAUACUUAAAAAAUAAAUAUAAAUACCUAAAAAAUACGUUUAUACAUUUUAUAAUUUUUUUUAGAAAAUCUAUAAAAGGUAUCAUUAUUUUGGGAAAAAUUAACGCUGUGGUCCCAUUACUGAACAUGUCAAAAGAGCCUAAAAUAAAGAUAUUUGUCAGCUUCUUUGGUGGUUCGAUAAAAAAAUUUGGGACUUAAUCGUUGAUUUUCUCAAAAUCAUGAGAAUUAUCUAUAGAUUUCCCUUUUAAUUUGGUUACAUUAGUCCCAAAUCAAAUAUAUUGGCUUUCUUUAUACGCCUUGUACUCAAAUAUUUACUUUACUAGUUUUGCCAAACUCUCACUAGUUGGCUAUUUUUGCAUUUAGGUCAAUCACAAAUUGUUUCAACUCUUUUGCGUAAACUGAGCACAGGACAUGUGCCAGUGUUUGAUUUUCAUAGAAAUAAGCCUUUAUCAUUGCUUUUUCAACCACAUGUAUAAUGUACUGAAGGGAUUUAAAGUCUCUUUCAUGCUUGAAACUCUGUUAUUUUCCCUGUAUUAGAUCAUCAAUAUGCGUGUUGUGAUAAAAUUUUCAUUUGGCUAAUUUUCAUCUUCCUUUUUUAUAGGCAGAUACUAAACCUACAGUAUAAGAUUAGGUCAUCCGAAAAAUAUUACCGUAUGAUUGGCUUGGGUUAUUACAAGAUACAGAAGAUGUACGAAUAAGUAACACUACAACAUUCUUAAAAAAAAUCUUGUGUUGAGAAUACAUAAAAUAUAUGAAUAAGUAACACUCAAUCACAUAAACUGAAAAUAAAAUCACAUCAAGGGAAAGCAGCAGAGUCCAGCAUCCCUAUUAUCAGUUUAAAGAGCAUACAGUAGUUACACACUUAACAAUGUUCUUGUUUUCUUUUUUCUUUUUUUUUUUUUACAGUAAUACAAUACGGUCUUCUUUAUGUUAGUGUUAAGAUUCUUCAACAUGUAAGUCAUAAGAAGCUCGUAUUAAGAGUUAACAGGAAUUGUAAUUGAAACCUUCUGUAUAUGUUUUGCAACACCUGGCCUACUGAAAUAUGUAUUUGAAUUUGGAUUUGUCUGACAUAAAAUGCAUAAUAUUUUUUAGAGAAAAUUACACGGAUGGUCCCUGUGGUUAGGGGUUACUUGCACGCUUGGUCCCUAGAAAGUAUUUUUAACUCGGACCGUCCCUAAAACUUAGAUUUGUUACCCGCCCAGUCCCUAAACUAACUAGCCGUCUAUUUUGCUGUUAAACCAUGAUGAAAAGACAUAUUUACCCUUACUUUUAUAUGUUUAUAAUUAUUCUUGAAAAUGAAAAAUAUUCCACCCCAAAAUAUACCCCACAGACCCACACUCCAUAACCUAAAAUUGAUCGGCGUCGUAUCCUCCUCUCAGCACCUCCCUUCCACCUACUGUUACCGGCUGCCAGAGACUCUCCGUAACUGGCCAUAUCAUCACCACCAAAACUCCCCUCCUACUGCCCUAUCCCCAAUCUCGUCACCAUCUUCACAUCAGCCUUUCAAAUAAUUAACCAAUUAUUAGCCGAAAAGGAUUAUUAAACUAGAUUUAUCAAGAUUUGAUGGCUUACAAGUUACAGCUUACCUGAGAAGCAGUGAUACCCUGAGUUUCAUGUAAUGAACCACCUUCAAUAACUUUGUUUUCAUGUAACAUCUCGAUUUCCUCGAUAGGCCAUUGUAGGAGCUGCUUCUGGUUUUUGUCUAGCCAAAUACUCCUCAGAAAUGACUGCAUGUAUAGGUGAGUUAAUGAUCUUAUAUAUAAUUAAGGAGAUAAGUGAAAUUAUUGAAUCUUUGAUUACUUGAACUCCGACCCAUCCUUUAGCGAUGACAGCAGCUUCAGAAUCAGUCUCGUGCACCCAACCCAUAAUUAUCCUUCGCUUUUUCACAGGAUCGAAGAACGAUUUGGAAGUGUAGUACCUCCCAUAAUCAAGCCUUAAACUGCCGAGUGUUAGUAAUCUCCGUUUCCCCUUCGUGCUAGGGUUUAUGACAGAUGUAUCGACCCCAUUCGUGCUAUCAACCCACACCGGAAAGAAAUCAGGGCAUUCCCAUAUUCCUGUUCUUAGAAAUUGAUGAAGUGGGGAAUCAUGUUUACUCCAAUUAACAAGAUCGUCGGGUCUCUGAAGUCACCCGGUUGAGAUAUGGAUUGCCGACAUGUUUACUCCAAUCAUGUUUACUCCAUUUUUUGAGAUAUGGAUCGGAUAAGUCCUUUAGAACGGCCAAAUUCUGGACUUGGCUGUUUUCUGAGUCGAUUCCGAUGUAUAGCAUAAUAGGCUUGUUUCCGGGGAGGAUGGUGACGGAGUCAAACCAUCAGCCAUUGAUGUGGAAGGGAAGAAGUGAGAAGAAGAAAUCGAGAAAAACAAUGAACGAGGUGGGUUUUAGAGACUUGAAAUGGUGAAAUGACAAAAAUACCCCCAUUAUGUGGGUUACUAACACCUAAACAAACGGAAAUAUUAUGAGAGGGACUGGGCGGGUAACAAAUCUAAGUUUUAGGGACGGUCCGAGUUAAAAAAACUUUCUAGGGACCAAGCGUGCAAGUGACCACAAAUCAUAGGGACCAUCCGUGUAAUUUUCUCUAUUUUUUAUGUUGUGAAAAUUUAAUUUACCAAUGUUAUUUUGCUACUUUUUACAUGUAUUGGAAAUCCAAGUGAUGGAAAAAGUUGCUAAAUUUCACCUGAAAAGAUAACUAAUACAAAUCCGUUGCUAAACUACAGUCAAAACUUGUGCAGCUACAUUUCUAGAAGGAUUGCAAUUUUCAUUGACUUAUUUAUCUACUACAUAAUGACAUAAGAAAACAUAUCCGGAGUAUCAUAACAAGAAGGAAUGUUAAUGCUGAUAUAAGAAAACGUAUCAGUAGUAUCUUAACAAGAAGGCAUCUAAUUGCAUAAAUAUCAUAGGGUGCAUCAUAGUAAACUACAAAAAAAAUAAAGAAUAUUGAAAGUACACUAUAUUAGGCCUUCAUCAACAGAUUUGAAACUUGGUGCAUUGUUGGCCUUUCAUGUGGAUUGGAGUUCAAACAUGCUCUGGAGACUCUCAAUACUAACAUAACAUCUUUCUCAACUUGGGAUGAAGGAGGUGGUAUCCGACUGUCUCCCACAUUUGCUAACACCAGAUGAUCAUCUGAUAAUGUUGGUAAAGAUGUUAUGAGUUCCCCAGGAUGCUUUCCCAUGACCACUUCUAGUGCAACAACUCCAAAGCUAUACACAUCACAUUUCUCAUUUGCCACCAUCGUAUAAGCAAGCUCUACAUCCAAAAAAACAUAAGAAAAAAACAAAAAAGCUAUAUCAACCUCACAUGAUUCUAACGUAGAUACAUAUUUAUGUACAUCGUGAAACUUAAGAAUAUGUAGAACUACAAUCACAAGAUUAUGUUACCUGGAGCGAUAUAACCAUAGGUUCCUGCUACUGCAGUCCAGUUUGAUGAGUCUAGCUUUAAAAGCUUGGAUGUGCCAAAAUCAGAAAUGCGUGCCUCAUAAUCAGAAUCGAGAAGGAUGUUGGAUAUGGAAAUGUCUCUAUGCACUAUAGGCGGUGAACAAUCGUGAUGCAUAUAAGCCAAACCAUUAGCAACGCCCUUUACAAUAUUGACCCUUGUUAACCAAUCCAAUUCUUUUGCUAAUACAUCACUUUUUAAUAUUGAUCCAAGGCUGCCAUUUUCAAGGUAUUCAUAAAUCAAAAUUGAGUUGCGGGCAUGGGAGCAAUAUCCAUAAAGUUUCACUAUGUUUCGGUGCCUUAUGUUCGUUAAUGC